GCUCGGGCUCCGGUGCCGCUUCGGGCGCGGCGGCGGCGGCGGCGGCGGCGGCGGCGGCGGCGGCGGCGGCGGCGGCGGCGGCGC
rnacentral:miRNA from 14 species